CGCCGCCGACCGCUGCGCCCCCGCGGCGUUCUCCGGCCCCGGAGUCGAGGCUGCUGAAAUUCCACACGACCAGCGUCUGCAGCAGCAGCACGAUCCUAAUUUUAAGAGAAGAAAGUGAAGGAAUAAAGAGGAUCCAUCAGAGGAGGCAAGGAAGAGAUUGUUUCAUCCACUCAACGACAGUCUGUGGAUAUCAAGCUCUGUCAGACACUGGGCGAGGUGCAGGAAUCCAAAGGAGACCAGCAACAUCCCAGAGGCUGCUCCAGAGACUAAACUUUGACCCCGGAAUUGAAGACAACUUGACACAGAGUCCGAUCUGACCUGUGAUGAGAGCUGACAUGAAACAUGAGCAAGAAAUAAACCUCUGCUGCUCUGAGGCGCUGAGAUUUAGGGCU